AGCUAGUAAGUAGCUGUAUAAAUUAUGAUACUUUGGGUUCUUUUUCUUUUUGUGGCCAUUCCUGUCUUUUUUCUUCUUUCAUAUUUUCCACUAGGCACGUUAUGAAGAAAAUGAAGAUGAAAAGAAUGUCAGUUAUUAACUUUUAUAAUAUCUUAUUGGCUUAAUUUUACAAACACCUUCUAAACUAUCGUCUUUUAUCACUUUUACCCUUUCAUCUAAAAAUUGAAUCAUAUUGACCCCCUUAACUAUUUA
rnacentral:lncRNA from 1 species